UACGUAGGCAGCAAGCGUUGUUCGGAGUUACUGGGCGUAAAGAGUGCGUAGGCGGUGUCGAAAGUUUGGCGUGAAAUCUCCCGGCUUAACUGGGAGGGUGCGCCGAAAACUGCGGUGCUGGAGUGUGGGAAAGGCAAGCGGAAUUCCUGGUGUAGCGGUGAAAUGCGUAGAUAUCAGGAGGAACACCUGUGGUGUAGACGGCUUUCUGGACCGUAGCUGACGCUGAGACACGAAAGCGUGGGUAGCAAACAGG
rnacentral:rRNA from 1 species